GUUCACACAAAUCAUGAGAUUCACAGGAAUGGGAAACCGAACUCAUCCCCAGCUCCAGAAGUGGAUGCUGAUAUUCUAAACCAAUCACCAGAUGCCAUUCCUUUGAUGAUGAUGAUUAAUUUGUCCAGGGGCAGUGAGGAAAAGGAAACGAGAUGUCCAGCUGUUGGCCCCAGUCAUAAGAGGAAGCUGAUGCUGUGGAUGAAGAGUGGAGCAAUGGAAAUAAUCUGGGGUCCAGUGACACUGCUAAACUACUGAUUCAACUAGCCUUUCUUUUUUUCUUUUCUUUUUCUUUCUUUUCUUUUUUUUUUUCUUUUUUAA